rnacentral:piRNA from 1 species
CACGAUGACAGUGGGUGUCUGCGGACA